UACAAUGUUCUUCCGCAAGAUGCAUGCCGUUCUGUUUAACCGUUAGAGCGCCAAAAGUUAUGGACAUGUUUAUAUAUUAUAUGUUGUGUUUGUGAAUGAAGGAGAUUUAUUGGAUGGGGCACGCGCGAGACAAAUUCGAAAUUUUAAAUGAGCAAGUCUAACGGACUUUCGGAGAAUCUUGAGUACUGCGCAUGCGCAUCAUUUUGUUCUGUAACGGUCGACUUCCAGCAGACGGACACGGAGUAAAAGCAGCUGGAGGAGAGACAGCCUGUGCAGCAACAACAAGACAACAAUGAUUAUAAGCAGGGAUAAUCUCCAGGUGGACUGCACGGGUCCAGGAUCAAGAGAUCAUUCAUCAUGCAGACCAUGUUCCAGGAGAAGCAGCGUAUACUGGGUGAACAACUAUGCCUCACUUUUCCAAUAUCACUUAGCUGCCAGAGGAGGAUGAUGAUGGCAGUGGUGACCGAGGUGACUGUGCAACUCAGGAUGAAGAAGAGGAGGAACAUCUUCCAGUUUGCAAAAAUCCAAAGUGAAUAUAUAGAGACCAUCCUCCUAUCCUUGCCUCAGAAGAACCUGAGAAAGACCCUCUUCCUCUUCUCUCACAGCUCUCCAUCAUCUACCUCUACAACACUGUUGGCAAGAGUGUUAUACACAGCUGAGGACACGGUA